rnacentral:misc_RNA from 1 species
GAUGAAGAACGCAGCGAAAUGCGAUAAGUAGUGUGAAUUGCAGAAUUCAGUGAAUCAUCGAAUCUUUGAACGCACAUUGCGCCCUUUGGUAUUCCUUAGGGCAUGCCUGUUCGAGCGUCAUUUAAACCUUCAAGCUAAGCUUGGUGUUGGGUGACUGUCCGCUUCACGGCGGACUCGCCUCAAAAUUAUUGGCGGCCGGUACAUUGGCUUCGAGCGCAGCAGAAACGCGAACUCGGGCCCGUCGUAUUGGCUCCCAGAAGCUAUCUUCACAAUUUUGACCUCGGAUCAGGUAGGGAUACCCGCUGAACUUAAGCAUAUCAAUAAGCAGAGGA